AUGGAUGCUCUCACUGCGGUGGUGACUAAAGCUUUUGUGGAUGGUGUGCUAAGCUCAUUCAGAGGGAUCUCAGCAGUUCAACGUAUCUCCAUAUACACAGAUGAUGUUGCUUUCUUCAUCCGCCCAUCGCUCCAAGAUCUGCAAUUCGUUCAGGAGGCCUUGUUGGUUUUCAGUGAGGCCUCCGGCCUUAAAGUUAACUACGGCAAGUCUACGGCUACCAUCUUCAGAGGGGAGCAGGAGGAUAAAGAUAGGGUAACUAGUCUGCUUCAUUGUGCCCUAGCUCACUUCCCUAUAAGAUAUCUUCGGCUCCAGCUCGCCACCCGUCAGUUGACCAGGAAUGAAUGGCAACCUUUGCUGGAUAUGGUCAAAAAUAUGGCUCUGGGCUGGCAAAGAGGCUUCAUACAGAGGGUUGGGCGCCUGGUGCUGGUUAAAUCGGUUUUAUCAGCCAGACCGGUCCACCAACUGCUAAUCCUUAAUGCGCCUGAAUGGGUCUUUGAGGAGAUUAACACUUGGAUGCGCUCCUUCUUUUGGGCUGGCAAAGACAAAACCAAUGGUGGACAAUGUUUGGUGGCUUGGAACACGAUUUGCAGACCCACAAGCUUUGGUGGAUUGGGAGUGAAAUAUCUGAAACUGCAAGCUCUGGCGCUAAGAGUUAGAUGGGAAUGAUUAAGUAGAGUGGACAAGGAUAGACCAUGGAGCAAUCUGGCACUGAUGGUGGAUGAUGAUGCAAGAGAAGUUUUCGAUAGUCUAGUUGGCAUUGAGGUUGGUAGAGGUGAUCGAGUGCUCUUUUGGCGCAACAGAUGGAUUAAUGGAUACAGAGCCGAGGAUAUCGCUCCAAACAUUCAAGCGAUGGUUCAAACCCGAGUGAUUAACUCGCGAACGGUUGAGCAAGCUCUAGUAGGACAGAGGUGGGAGUAA
rnacentral:rRNA from 1 species